GUCCAGGGCUAGAGCAAGCGUCGCCCCACGGCCUGCGCAGCCCUGAGCCAUGCUGAGGAGCUGCAUCGGGCACCUCCGCACGCUGGGGGCCCUUUGCCGGCUGCCGCUGGUAGGCUGGCGCCUGCCGGGUCGUGAGCCACGACCUGCGCUGAGGUCAUUUUCUUCUGAGGAUGUCAUUCUUAAGGACUAUUCUGUCCCCAACCCCAGCUGGAACAAGGACCUAAGACUGCUCUUUGACCAGUUUAUGAAGAAAUGUGAAGAUGACUCCUGGAAACAUUUGCCUUCAUAUAAACGUACACGUACUGAAAGGAUUCAAGACUUCAAAACCCGUUUUCUUGACCCAAAGCUUAUGAAAGAAGAACAAGUGUCACAGGCCCAGCUCUUCACCAGAAGCUUUGAUGAUGGCCUGGGCUUUGAAUACAUGAUGUUCUACAAUGACGUUGAGAAAAGGAUGGUUUGCUUAUUUCAAGGAGGCUCUUACCUGGAAGGACCACCUGGAUUCAUUCAUGGAGGUGCCAUUGCAACCAUGCUUGAUGCUACUGUUGGUAUGUGUGCAAUGAUGGCUGGGGGAAUCGUCAUGACUGCCAAUCUCAACAUCAAUUGUAAAAGACCUAUCCCUCUUUGUUCUGUUGUUAUGAUAAAUAGCCAACUUGAUAAAGUUGAAGGAAAGAAAUUUUUUGUUUCCUGUAAUGUUCAGAGUGUUGAUGAGAAGACCCUAUACUCAGAGAUGACAAACUUAUUUAUAAAGCUGAAUCCUGCUAAAAGUCUGACAUAAAGAGCUGCUGGUGAACUCCAUCUCAUUCUCUCCCCUCCAGAAGAAGCAGUUGUCCCCCAAAUACUCUGCUCCCUCACUGCUGAAUCCCUGUAGGGAGAAGCCUGCCAGCAGUGACCUUCUGAAACAGCCUUCUGAAUACAAGGAGGAUUCAGCUUCCAUCUUCUCAACUUUUUAACACAGAAACACUUCCUGCGAGCAUUUCGACAACUCUCAGGCCGGGUGCUGUGGCUCACGCCUAUAAUCCCAGCACUUUAGGAGGCCAAGGCGGGCGGAU